AACGUUCUGCGGUGUAAGUUACUCUGAGUAUUUUUUUACUACAAUUGAGUUUUUCGGGAGUUCGGGUCUUAUUAUCUGCUGCUAUGCCCCACCAGAAAGAGGGGACAGCUAAAGUAGUAAGUAGAACACCCACCUGUGAGAUGCAGGUUCAAAAAACUCAGCGGACGGCAUCGCGGUAUUAGU
rnacentral:other from 1 species